AAAAUGAUAUUUCUUCUUCUUCUUCUGCUUCUUCUGCUGCUGCUUCUUCUUCUGCUUCUUCUGCUGCUUCUUCUUCUUCUUCUUCUUCUUCUUCUUCUUCUUCUUCUUCUUCUUCUUCUUCUUCUUCUUCUUCUUCUUCGUUUUUAAUGAUCCGUGGCAUUACUAGCUUUCCCUCAUGUUCACCUCUCAAUCUCUGCCCACUAUGGAAUGAUAGUCUCCUCCUAGCUGCCUUUGGAUCAAGAAAAGGAACUCUUGGCUCAUCCAGCACCAUGCAUGCCUGGAUGCUGCCAUGCUUCCUGCCAUGAUGAUGAUGGACUGCACCUCUGAAAUUAUAAGCCAGCCCCAAUUAAACAUUUUGUUUUUUCUUAAAAAAUGAUAUUUUAUGAACUGUAGAGAUGGUGUAGUGGUUAAGAUCACUGGGUGUUCUUCCAGAGGACCUGGGUUUAAUUCUCAGCACUGACAUUGUGGCUCACAUAUGUCUUCAACUCCAGUUCUAGGGGCUCAGAUGUCUCUCUGGCUUUUGCCAGCUUUGCAUGACAUGGUGAGCAUAUAUGUGUGCACCAUAAACUGAUAAUAAAAAUAAACAUUGAAGUUGACAACAUAUAAAAUAAUAAUAAAUCUUUAAGCUAAUGAAGGAAAGCUUACUACUGUAAAACCUGGAUAGGACGUUCCUUCUUCAUGAUGGCUCCUAAGUCUCGGGGGCAGGGCAUAUGACAUAGAUACCCCAUUUGUAUUCUGCAGACACACAUUCUCUGCACCCCAACCACACAUUUCUUCCUUUCUUUAUGUUUCAUCUUUUCAAGACAAGGUUUCUAUGUAUACACCUGCCUGUGCUGGAACUCUCUGUGUAGAUCAGAGAGGUUCCCACUAAUUCAGAGAUCUGUCUAUCUUUGAAUCCAGAAUGCUGGAAUUAAAGGCAUAAUCCAUCAAGCCCAUCCAACAACACAUCCCUAAUCAACAUAUGCGAAAUAAAACAAAAAGGACGUGAGUAAAUAAAGAUAUGCAACCAAAUGUAAAGAAGAAAGUUAGAAUAGGUCUCAGCAAGAAUUAAAUAUGGAAUAGAAAUGAUAAAGAAAUUCAAUGGAAACAAAUUUUUUUCAAAAGUUUCCUGAACUUCAUAGACAAUUGUAUAGUCUGACUAAAGAACACAAAAUAUACUAGAACUGUGUAAUCACAAAUCAAAGAGAAGCCCCAAAAACCUUGUAAAGUAAUAUAAUUACAAGAGAAUACUCUGAAAAUAUUAUGAAAAUUUCAAGUACACAUUGUAUAAUACAGACAGCACCCAUUCGCAGGAACCUGAACACCUGAAAACCAAUCACCUGAAGAAAGUUAGCAAACGUCUAAAGAGAGAGAGAUCCAUUUAAAGAUACAAGUCAGCAGUUAGACAUCCAGAGCCAGCGGUAAGAGCCUUCUAGUAAGGAAAUUGCAGAAAGGACAUUGCUGUUCUAGGGAAUUCAGCCGAGAAGAAUGCUCAGAUUUUUUUUGGAUUAAUUACUUUAUUUCCUGACUGCAGUUUCCCCUCCGUGCUUCCUCCACUACCUAACUCCUCAAAAAUGUUGUUUAAGCCAAUAGAAACUCUUCAUUAGCUGGCCCUAAUUAUUGUAAAUGUUUGGCAUUCCAGUAUAGAAUGGAGCUUAAACCAGAUUUCAGAAGAGAAAAACAUUAUUAAGUGGCCUAAAACCGUGCUUGUGAUCUUUUGGUGAAGAAAUGUGGUUGCCUUUUGCUCCUGUCCAAAAAUACAAAACAAAAC
rnacentral:lncRNA from 1 species